rnacentral:piRNA from 1 species
UGCUGAGAGAAGUAGCAGUUA